GACGAACGCUGGCGGCGUGCUUAACACAUGCAAGUCGAACGGAAAGGCCCUGCUUUUGUGGGGUGCUCGAGUGGCGAACGGGUGAGUAACACGUGAGUAACCUGCCCUUGACUUUGGGAUAAUUUCAGGAAACUGGGGCUAAUACCGGAUAGGGGCUCCUGCUGCAUGGUGGGGGUUGGAAAGUUUCGGCGGUUGGGGAUGGACUCGCGGCUUAUCAGCUUGUUGGUGGGGUAGUGGCUUACCAAGGCUUUGACGGGUAGCCGGCCUGAGAGGGUGACCGGCCACAUUGGGACUGAGAUACGGCCCAGACUCCUACGGGAGGCAGCAGUGGGGAAUAUUGCACAAUGGGCGGAAGCCUGAUGCAGCAACGCCGCGUGCGGGAUGACGGCCUUCGGGUUGUAAACCGCUUUCGCCUGUGACGAAGCGUGAGUGACGGUAAUGGGUAAAGAAGCACCGGCUAACUACGUG
rnacentral:rRNA from 1 species